AGGUUAAGUGAAUAAGGGCGCACGGUGGAUGCCUUGGCACUAGGAGCCGAUGAAGGACGGGACUAACACCGAUAUGCUUUGGGGAGCUGUAAGUAAGCUAUGAUCCAGAGAUUUCCGAAUGGGGGAACCCAGCAUCUUUUAUAGGAUGUUACACAGUUGUGAAUACAUAGCAGCUGUGAGGUAGACGCAGAGAACUGAAACAUCUAAGUACCUGCAGGAAGAGAAAGAAAAUUCGAUUCCCUGAGUAGCGGCGAGCGAAACGGGAAAAGCCCAAACCAACAAGCUUGCUUGUUGGGGUUGUAGGACUCCGAUAUGGUAGUUGAAACAGAUAGUCGAAAUACUUGGAAAAGUAUGUCAAAGAGGGUAAAAACCCCGUAGAUGAAAUCUGGCUCACACCUAGGAGGAUCCUGAGUACGGCGGAACACGAGGAAUUCCGUCGGAAUCCGGGAGGACCAUCUCCCAAGGCUAAAUACUCCCUAGUGACCGAUAGUGAACCAGUACCGUGAGGGAAAGGUGAAAAGCACCCCGGAAGGGGAGUGAAAUAGAUCCUGAAACCGUGUGCCUACAACAAGUUAGAGCCCGUUAAUGGGUGAUAGCGUGCCUUUUGUAGAAUGAACCGGCGAGUUACGAUAGCAUGCGAGGUUAAGUUGAAGAGACGGAGCCGCAGCGAAAGCGAGUCUGAAUAGGGCGAAUGAGUAUGUUGUCGUAGACCCGAAACCAUGUGAUCUACCCAUGUCCAGGUUGAAGGUGCGGUAAAACGCACUGGAGGACCGAACCCACGUACGUUGAAAAGUGCGGGGAUGAGGUGUGGGUAGCGGAGAAAUUCCAAACGAACUUGGAGAUAGCUGGUUCUCUCCGAAAUAGCUUUAGGGCUAGCCUCGGAAUUGAGAAUGAUGGAGGUAGAGCACUGUUUGGACUAGGGGCCCAUCUCGGGUUACCGAAUUCAGAUAAACUCCGAAUGCCAUUCAUUCAUAUCCGGGAGUCAGACUGUGAGUGAUAAGAUCCAUAGUCGAAAGGGAAACAGCCCAGACCACCAGCUAAGGUCCCCAAAUAACUAUUAAGUGGAAAAGGAUGUGGGGUUGCACAGACAACUAGGAUGUUGGCUUAGAAGCAGCCACCAUUUAAAGAGUGCGUAAUAGCUCACUAGUCGAGUGACCCUGCGCCGAAAAUGUACCGGGGCUAAAUAGUUUACCGAAGC
rnacentral:rRNA from 1 species